rnacentral:misc_RNA from 1 species
GAUGAAGAACGUAGUGAAAUGCGAUAAGUAGUGUGAAUUGCAGAAUUCAGUGAAUCAUCGAAUCUUUGAACGCACAUUGCGCCCUUUGGUAUUCCUUAGGGCAUGCCUGUUCGAGCGUCAUUUAAACCUUCAAGCUCUCCGGAGUUUGGUGUUGGGGCGCCUGGGGCUUUUCGACCUCAGGGCCCUCAAGUCCAUCGGCGGGACCGCCAGGACACUGAGCGCAGUAGUAUUAUUUCGCUCGGUAGGAUCUUCCACGGCGGGUCGAUCUGGCCGCUAAACCCCCCAAUUCUCACCAAAGGUUGACCUCGGAUCAGGUAGGAAUACCCGCUGAACUUAAGCAUAUCAAUAAGCGGAGGA